rnacentral:rRNA from 1 species
GAGGAAACUUGUGCUAAUACCUCAUAAGUCUUUACGGAGAAAGCUUUAUGUGCCGAAGGAUGAGCCUGCACUUGAUUAGCUAGUUGGUAAGGUAAAAGCUUACCAAGGCAACGAUCAAUAGCUGUUCUUAGAGGAAGACCAGCCACAUUGGGACUGAGACACGGCCCAGACUCCUACGGGAGGCAGCAGUGGGGAAUCUUGCACAAUGGGGGAAACCCUGAUGCAGCGAUGCCGCGUGAGUGAAGAAGGCCCUUGGGUUGUAAAACUCUUUCGUCGGGGAAGAAAAUGACUGUACCCGAAUAAGAAGGUCCGG